rnacentral:misc_RNA from 1 species
UAAAGUGCGAUAUCUAGUGCGAUUUGCAUGAAUCUGUGAGUCAUCUAGUCUUUGAACGCAACUUGCGCCUGGUAACAGGCAUGUCUGUUUGAGCACCGUAUUCUAGUGAAUAACUGGGGUGUCACGAGCGAGCGAGCGAGUCGAGUCGAGUCGAGCCGAGUCGAGUCGAGUCCCCUCGUUUAGUGUGCUCUGAAAUGUGGGUCCUUUGCUCGGGUAGGUUGGGCUAUAUGUGCUAGUGACAUUUGUCAUCUCAUAUUCCCCCAAUGCCUCCCCUCCUUAACAACUGGUCUCAAAUCAGACAAGAUUACCCGCUGAACUUAA